GGAAGCCUCUAGCAGGGAGAUAGGGGGCAGCGCGCGAAGAGCAUCGCACUUGCGGCGAUGUCGGCAGCGUCCUCUCGGACCUUGAAAAUCCGGGUGAGGGCCACGUGGACAUCCGAUCUGGUUCGUACCCAUAUCCGCAGCAGGUCUCCAAGGUGAAUAGCCUCUAGUCGAUAGAAUAAUGUAGGUAAGGGAAGUCGGCAAAUUGGAUCCGUAACUUCGGGAUAAGGAUUGGCUCUGAGGUUCUAGGUGAGUCGGGCUUGUCAGAGAAGCGGUCGGUUCUUGUGUCGGAUGCCGGGCCUGGGUGAGGUCGAGCCGCAAGGCGAGAUCAAUCCCGGUCCCAGCGCUUCGGCCUACCCCGUGGACCUUUCAAGCUUCAGGGGGCCGUGGAUCACGGCGGCUGGGCAACUGGCCGUCCCGCGCGUCUCCUACGGCCACCAUCUAAAGAACAACUUAGAACUGGCACUGACCAGGGGAAUCCGACUGUCUAAUUAAAACAAAGCAUUGCGAUGGACCUAGCGGUUGUUGACGCAAUGU
rnacentral:ncRNA from 1 species